rnacentral:rRNA from 1 species
UACGUAGGGCGCAAGCGUUAUCCGGAAUUAUUGGGCGUAAAGAGCUCGUAGGCGGUCUGUUGCGUCCGCUGUGAAAACUCGGGGCUUAACCCCGAGCCUGCAGUGGAUACGGGCAGACUAGAGGUAGGUAGGGGAGAAUGGAAUUCCCGGUGUAGCGGUGAAAUGCGCAGAUAUCGGGAGGAACACCGGUGGCGAAGGCGGUUCUCUGGGCCUUACCUGACGCUGAGGAGCGAAAGCGUGGGGAGCGAACAGG